AGUGAACGCUGGCGGUAGGCCUAACACAUGCAAGUCGAACGGCAGCACAGUAAGAGCUUGCUCUUACGGGUGGCGAGUGGCGGACGGGUGAGGAAUACAUCGGAAUCUACUUUUUCGUGGGGGAUAACGUAGGGAAACUGACGCUAAUACCGCAUACGACCUACGGGUGAAAGCAGGAGAUCUUCAGACCUUGCGCGAUUGAAUGAGCCGAAGUCGGAUUAGCUAGUUGGCGGGGUAAGGGCACACCAAGGCGACGAUCCGUAGCUGGUCUGAGAGGAUGAUCAGCCACACUGGAACUGAGACACGGUCCAGACUCCUACGGGAGGCAGCAGUGGGGAAUAUUGGACAAUGGGCGCAAGCCUGAUCCAGCCAUACCGCGUGGGUGAUGAAGGCCUUCGGGUUGUAAAGCCCUUUUGUUGGGAAAGAAAAGCAGCAGGUUAAUAUCCCGCUGUUCUGACGGUACCCAAAGAAUAAGCACCGGCUAACUUCGUG
rnacentral:rRNA from 1 species